UACGUAGGGAGCAAGCGUUGUUCGGAUUUACUGGGCGUAAAGGGCGCGUAGGCGGCAAUUCAAGUCACUUGUGAAAUCUCCGGGCUUAACUCGGAACGGUCAAGUGAUACUGCUUUGCUAGAGUGCGGAAGGGGCAAUCGGAAUUCUCGGUGUAGCGGUGAAAUGCGUAGAUAUCGAGAGGGACACCUGAGGUGAAGACGGGUUGCUGGGCCGACACUGACGCUGACAGCGCGAAAGCCAGGGGAGCAAACGGG
rnacentral:rRNA from 1 species